rnacentral:rRNA from 1 species
AUUGAACGCUGGCGGCAGGCUUAACACAUGCAAGUCGAGCGGAGAUGAGGUGCUUGCACCUCAUCUUAGCGGCGGACGGGUGAGUAAUGCUUAGGAAUCUGCCUAUUAGUGGGGGACAACAUUCCGAAAGGAGUGCUAAUACCGCAUACGUCCUACGGGAGAAAGCAGGGGAUCUUCGGACCUUGCGCUAAUAGAUGAGCCUAAGUCGGAUUAGCGAGUUGGUGGGGUAAAGGCCUACCAAGGCGACGAUCUGUAGCGGGUCUGAGGGGAUGGUCCGCCACACUGGGACUGAGCCACGGCCCAGACUCCUACGGGAGGCAGCAGUGGGGAAUAUUGGACAAUGGGGGGAACCCUGAUCCAGCCAUGCCGCGUGUGAAGAAGGCCUUAUGGUUGUAAAGCACUUUAAGCGAGGAGGAGGCUACUGAGACUAAUACUCUUGGAUAGUGGACGUUACUCGCAGAAUAAGCACCGGCUAACUCUGUGCCAGCCGCCGCAGUAAAAC